UGGAGGAUUGAGAAGGUAAGGCAGUCAAAUAUAUUGCUUUUUAUUGGUUAUAGCCUCCAAAAUCAAAAUGGUGCAAAGCAAAACGUGUUCCUCUGAUCAGUGAGGAAACAAAGCUGCUGUUUGCACACACAUC